rnacentral:piRNA from 1 species
UGUGAUAUCCUUGGGAGUGUACUGGGC